GACGAACGCUGGCGGCGUGCCUAAUACAUGCAAGUAGAACGCUGAAGGAGGAGCUUGCUUCUCUGGAUGAGUUGCGAACGGGUGAGUAACGCGUAGGUAACCUGCCUGGUAGCGGGGGAUAACUAUUGGAAACGAUAGCUAAUACCGCAUAAGAGUAGAUGUUGCAUGACAUUUGCUUAAGGUGCAAUUGCAUCACUACCAGAUGGACCUGCGUUGUAUUAGCUAGUUGGUGGGGUAACGGCUCACCAAGGCGACGAUACAUAGCCGACCUGAGAGGGUGAUCGGCCACACUGGGACUGGGACACGGCCCAGACUCCUACGGGAGGCAGCAGUAGGGAAUCUUCGGCAAUGGGCGGAAGUCUGACCGAGCAACGCCGCGGGAGUGGAGAAGGGUUUCGGAUCGUAAAGCUCUGUUGUAAGAGAAGAACGAGUGUUAGAGUGAAAAGUUCACACUGUGACGGUAGCUUACCAGAAAGGGACGGCUAACUACGUG
rnacentral:rRNA from 1 species